rnacentral:piRNA from 1 species
AAGGAUCUCAGUUGCAAACAUGCCCUU